AGCAGUAUGGUGUAGUGCUGCACACAGGAAUUUCCUGGCAAGUAAUCCACAUCUGUAUUCCUCAGGUCCUUGUUCGAAUCAAGGUGCUGCUC